GACGAACGCUGGCGGCGUGCUUAACACAUGCAAGUCGAACGGAAAGGCCCUGCUUUUGUGGGGUGCUCGAGUGGCGAACGGGUGAGUAACACGUGAGUAACAUGCCCUUGACUUUGGGAUAACUUCAGGAAACUGGGGCUAAUACCGGAUAGGAGCUCCUGCUGCAUGGUGGGGGUUGGAAAGUUUCGGCGGUUGGGGAUGGACUCGCGGCUUAUCAGCUUGUUGGUGGGGUAGUGGCUUACCAAGGCUGUGACGGGUAGCCGGCCUGAGAGGGUGACCGGGCACAUUGGGACUGAGGGACGGCCCAGACUCCUACGGGAGGCAGCAGUGGGGAAUAUUGCACAAUGGGCGGAAGCCUGAUGCAGCAACGCCGCGUUCGGGAUGACGUCCUUCGGGUUGUAAACCGCUUUCGCCUGUGACGAAGCGGGAGUGACGGUAAUGGGUAAAGAAGCACCGGCUAACUACGUG
rnacentral:rRNA from 1 species